CUUACUCAGCUAGAUGUCUCUUAAGCGGAAUACUACAGCUAACAAAAGCAAUCAAACACUGACCAAUGAUGGGAAGAGUGCUUUUAUUAGAUAACAACCUCUCGACGGAGGGCCCCCCGUCCGAAGUCGUUAAUUUUGAUGAAUCUGCCUAACUUUUGCCCCCACUCCCGGCACGGGGAGGUAGUGACGAAAAAUAACGAUACGGGACUCUUACGAGGCCUCGUAAUCGGAAUGAGUACACUUUAAAUAUUUUAACGAGGAACAAUUGGAGGGCAAGUCUGGUGCCAGCAGCCGCGGUAAUUCCAGCUCCAAUAGCGUAUACUAACUUUUGGUUCCUUAUAUCUUACUCUUUUACUUGGAUUACUGUGGUAAUUCUAAAGCUAAUACAUGCAAUCAGAACUCUGACCAGUGAUGGGAUGAGUGCUUUUAUUAAAUCGAAACCACUCGACCGACGGCCUCCCGUCCGAAUUCGUUAAUUUUGAUGAAUCUGGAUAACUUUUGCCGAUCGCAUGGUCCAUUACCGGCGACGCAUCUUUCAAAUGUCUGCCUUAUCAACUUUCCAUG
rnacentral:rRNA from 1 species